AAUGAAUGAUGACGAUAAGUCUUGGCCCCAGAUGAAGAGCAGUGAUUACUGUGCUACGAGAUCUACUGACAUU